AACGCACCUUGCACCCUUUGGUAUUCCGAGGGGUACGCCCGUUUGAGUGUCAUUGUAAUCUCACUCCAACAGCUCUUUGCUGGGCUGCUGGAGGUGGAUCUGGACUCUGCUGUGUUGCCCACGGCUGGUCUGAAAUGCAUGAGUGUACCCUGCUGUUGCAGCGUCUUCAGUGUGAUAAGUAUCCUCACUGGACAAAGUUCCCUCGGGACACGCAGCAUGGUGGGCCCUGCGCUUUCCAACCGUCCGCUUGCCGGACAGCCUUUGACAACUUGACCUCAAAUCGGGUGGGAUUACCCGCUGAACUUAA
rnacentral:misc_RNA from 1 species